UACAGAGGUCUCGAGCGUUAGGCGGAAUCACUGGGCUUAAAGCGUGUGUGGGUGGAUCGUUAAGUACCUUGUGAAAUCCCACGGCUUAACCGUGGAACUGCUUGGUAUACUGGCGGUCUUGAGCCACUUAGGGGCUACCGGAACAAAUGGUGGAGCGGUGAAAUGCGUAGAUAUCAUUUGGAACGCCAAUGGUGAAAACAGGUAGCUGGGAGUGUGCUGACACUGAGACACGAAAGCCAGGGGAGCAAACGGG
rnacentral:rRNA from 1 species